GGCUUGACUUCAGCAGCAGUGUGCCGGGGGGGCUCCGCGCCCUCCUCAGCCCUAGAAAUAAACACACAGGCCUGGGCCACUGCUGCCUUCAUUAUCCCUGCACGUUUUAUCCGCUCGCUCAAUCGCAGCCCCCGCGGCGAAUCAUCUCGUCUCAACACCAAGGCGAGCAAAGAAGGUUUGCUUCUGUGUCUGUUUUGCUUGAGCAGUUGAGUCGUUGGUGGUGCCGUCAGAAGGAAGAACAGCCAGCUUGGAGGGAGAGCUGGUGGAGUGUGAUUCUGGUGAGCUGCGCUGGGCUUUAACAACUCUGGACUCCUGAGCUGCUUCGCCUCCAGAAGUGAGAAGGUGUAUUUGGCUCCAUGCUGCCUGGCUGGAGCCCUGUCCAGCAGACCAUGGCCAUGAAGCCAAGCAAGGAAAUUACACCCUAUGGAGCCAGCCAACGCCUCCACUCCUACACACUGUAGAGCAAACCUGCACCUUUUGUUAUUGACCUGCAAAAUGCCAGGGAUGUAAAAAAAAUAUUUAAAAAAUACAAUACCGCAUUGA